AGAAAAGAUCCCCAUGGAUUUUUUGCUUUUCCUGUCACGGAUGCAAUUGCUCCUGGAUAUUCGAUGAUAAUAAAACAUCCCAUGGAUUUUGGCACCAUGAAAGACAAAAUUGUAGCUAAUGAAUACAAGUCAGUUACGGAAUUUAAGAUUUCAAACUGAUGUGUGAUAAUGCAAUGACAUACAAUAGGCCAGAUACCGUGUACUACAAGUUGGCGAAGAAGAUCCUUCACGCAGGCUUUAAGAUGAUGAGCAAACUGCAUGUUUGAGCCUGAAGGGAACGCCUGCAGCUUGACGGACAGUACCGCAGAGGAGCACGUGCUGGCGCUGGUGGAGCAUGCAGCUGACGAAGCUCGGGACAGGAUCAACCGGUUCCUCCCAGGCGGCAAGAGAAGAAAUGUUCCCAUGAAGCCUCCAGAUGAAGCUAAGGUUGGGGACACCCUAGGAGACAGCAGCAGCUCUGUUCUGGAGUUCAUGUCGAUGAAGUCCUAUCCCGACGUCUCUGUGGAUAUCUCCAUGCUCAGCUCUCUG
rnacentral:lncRNA from 1 species